rnacentral:lncRNA from 1 species
AAAAACUAAUUUAACCUCAAACAUUAAGGGGUAAAUUAAAAUGAACCUAUACAAAAUAAGUUUAUUUUUUUCUAACAGAGAAGCACAAUAAAGAAAACUAAUAUUGGAGAUCCUAAUUUAAUGCAUUGAUGAUUUUUUUGUUUAAUUACACAAGAGCAAUUCCCUAGAUGCUUAAACUAGAUUUUAUAUAGUGGACAUUACUAGAUUU